rnacentral:rRNA from 1 species
UAUCCGCCAGAAAACUACGAGCGAAAAGCUUAAAACUCAAAGGACUUGGCGGUGCUCCACACCGACUUAGAGGAGCCUGUCCUAUAAUCGAUACCCCACGCUAAACCUCACCAAUCUUUGCCAAAUCAGCCUAUAUACCGCCGUCGUCAACCCACCUCAUGAGAGAAAAACAGUGAGUACAAAAGUUUAAUAACUAAAACGUCAGGUCAAGGUGUAGCUAAUAGAAUGGAAGAGAUGGGCUACAUUUUUUAAAGUAAAACACAACGGCACGGUACUAUGAAACCCUUACCCGAAGGAGGAUUUAAUAGUAAAACUAACAAGAAAGUUAAUUUUAAACA